UGGUAAUGCCGGAUGCUCCGGUUGGAUGCAUGUCCUUCCGGGAAAGAUCCGUCGGUAUGGGAUGGGGUCGCGUCCUAUCAGCUUGAUGGCGGGGUAACGGCCCACCAUGGCUUCGACGGGUAGCCGGCCUGAGAGGGCGACCGGCCACAUUGGGACUGAGAUACGGCCCAGACUCCUACGGGAGGCAGCAGUGGGGAAUAUUGCACAAUGGGCGCAAGCCUGAUGCAGCGACGCCGCGUGCGGGAUGGAGGCCUUCGGGUUGUAAACCGCUUUUGAUCGGGAGCAAGCCCUUCGGGGUGAGUGUACCUUUCGAAUAAGCACCGGCUAACUACGUGCCAGCAGCCGCGGUAAUACGUAGGGUGCAAGCGUUAUCCGGAAUUAUUGGGCGUAAAGGGCUCGUAGGCGGUUCGUCGCGUCCGGUGUGAAAGCCCAUCGCUUAACGGUGGGUCUGCGCCGGGUACGGGCGGGCUGGAGUGCGGUAGGGGAGACUGGAAUUCCCGGUGUAACGGUGGAAUGUGUAGAUA
rnacentral:rRNA from 1 species